GUACACUCCUGCGGGAGGCAGCAGUGGGGAAUAUUGGACAAUGGGCGCAAGCCUGAUCCAGCCAUGCCGCGUGAGUGAUGAAGGCCCUAGGGUUGUAAAGCUCUUUCACCGGUGAAGAUAAUGACGGUAACCGGUGAAGAAGCCCCGGCUAACUUCGUGCCAGCAGCCGCGGUAAUACGAAGGGGGCUAGCGUUGUUCGGAUUUACUGGGCGUAAAGCGCACGUAGGCGGACUAUUAAGUCAGGGGUGAAAUCCCGGGGCUCAACCCCGGAACUGCCUUUGAUACUGGUAGUCUUGAGUUCGAGAGAGGUGAGUGGAAUUCCGAGUGUAGAGGUGAAAUUCGUAGAUAUUCGGAGGAACACCAGUGGCGAAGGCGGCUCACUGGCUCGAUACUGACGCUGAGGUGCGAAAGCGUGGGGAGCAAACAGGAUUAGAAACCCCAGUAGUCCCAUG
rnacentral:rRNA from 1 species